UACGAAGGGGGCUAGCGUUGUUCGGAAUUACUGGGCGUAAAGCGCGCGCAGGCGGCUCUUCAAGUCAGGGGUGAAAGCCCAGAGCUCAACUCUGGAACUGCCUUUGAGACUGAAGAGCUUGAGUACGGGAGAGGUGAGUGGAAUUCCCAGUGUAGAGGUGAAAUUCGUAGAUAUUGGGAAGAACACCGGUGGCGAAGGCGGCUCACUGGCUCGUAACUGACGCUCAUGCACGACAGCGUGGGGAUCAAACAGG
rnacentral:rRNA from 1 species